UCAAACUUGGUCAUUUAGAGGAAGUAAAAGUCGUAACAAGGUUUCCGUAGGUGAACCUGCGGAAGGAUCAUUAGUGAAAGCAAUCGGGCGUUGAGCCCGACCGUUCACACACACACCCUGUGCACUGUCGAUCGGACGGACCGCUCGUCGGGACGGUCGAGGGCGCUGCGAAUCGAAUCGCUUCGUUGCCCGAAUCAAACCAUCAGCGCCAAGUUUAUGGGAUGUCGAGUCGAACGAAAAGAAAAAGGAAACAACUUUCAGCAAUGGAUCUCUAGGCUCUCGCAUCGAUGAAGAACGCAGC
rnacentral:misc_RNA from 1 species